rnacentral:rRNA from 1 species
AACGUAGGAGGCAAGCGUUAUCCGGAUUCACUGGGCGUAAAGCGCAUGCAGGCGGUUCGGUAAGUUGGGCGUGAAAUCUCCCGGCUUAACUGGGAGAGGUCGUUCAAUACUACCGGACUGGAGAACAGUAGAGGAAGAUGGAAUUCCCGGUGUAGUGGUGAAAUGCGUAGAUAUCGGGAGGAACACCAGUGGCGAAGGCGAUCUUCUGGACUGUUUCUGACGCUCAUAUGCGAAAGCUAGGGUAGUAAACGGG